UCCGUGUGUACUAUCAUGUUGUUAUUGUUGUUGAAAUGUUUGACUUUGUAACAGUUGAAAAAUUGGCAAUAACAUUAAUCGACAUCAACAUCGAUUGAUAUCAAGCUAGAACAUAAACACACUCACACGAAACUAAAACUGGCCAAUAAAACCAUGAGAGAUACUAUUCCAAAAAAUGUUUUAUCUAAUCGAUAAUCUUCAAAACAAAUAUUCCAAUCGAAAAUCAUAUAAAUUUGCGUACAAAAUCGUGCCUUGUACAAAUGAGUGCAUCAAACAAAAGCUCAUUUCGAUUCAAACGAUUCUUGAUCGAAGCCAAAAAAAAUUUCAUGAACAAAAUGAAGGUGUUACUAUUGGUUGACGUCAUUUUGUCGAUAGCAAUGGUAAAUGUAGCCAUUCUAAAAUUUAAAUUCCUGCUAAAACCCAUGUCAGUCAGAUUUCAAUUUCUAUUAACCAUUUUUGUCAUUUUGUCUGCCUACGGUGCUGCAGGUGUUGAUGACUUUCCGCUUCCAACUCCAAAGCAAAUUGACUGCAUUUUCAAACUGGUUGAGAAGACUGUCAGUGAAAAUCCGGGCUUUGAAAGUGGCACAUUUAAUUUGGUCAAGCAUUUAGAACAUUUGCAGAGAUUGUAGAAAAAUGCAACUCACUCACCGGCAACGAACAAGUCGAAUGUUUACAAAAGGUGAAACAAGAAGCAUUUGUGCAAUACAAACGAUUGCUCAGUUUGUUACCCGGGAACCUGCGAACACAAUUCGAUAAUGAUUUCACAAAAUGCUUGGAAACGACAUGGUUCGCAAAUGAAGCGGCUACAUUCGCUGGUGAUAUCAUUUUUCCAAUCACGAUCGAUGAUCAGGUCGAAUGCGGCCGGUUGGCUGCGGAUCUGAUUACAUAUUGUUUUUUGAAUGAAAGAAAGUGAUGAAAUCAAUUAUUGCAAAGAAUUCAAAAUACGUGCUGUGGGGCGUCUAUGUGAAACGAACCGUGGAUUCAUUGAAAAACAAAGCCAAAAAAUUUGAACUACUUUCUGAAGCUGAACAAAAGGAAUGCUAUGAUAAGCUCAACGAACAAGUGAAAGUAGAAUACGACCGUUUGGCUAAUAAAUUGCCAGAAAAUCUUCGAGUACAAUUUGAAGAUGAUUUUACCAAUUGCUUCCAAUACUUGCAUUAAACUUGAUAUGACUUACUUUAAGUGGCCUUCAAAAUGCAGUUCAAGAUUAGUCAUCACGAAUUCCAUCAUUAGAAGCUUUCAGCUUUGCGAUUCAAUGUAACCAUACGUAUAUGAAAAACGCUCAAAUGAACAAUGAAAACGAAUUUGAAAUGAAAAAAAUGGAGAAUGUCUAUUCAAAAGCUUCGUUUCGUUCUCCAUAUCAGCCGCAAAUGGACUUUAUCAACAUAGUAAGACGCAGAACUGAUGUCACCUUAAAAUAUUAUACCUGAUGAAGUAUAUUAUACAGCAGAGAAGAAAAAGAGCAUAAAGUGCGAAAUGAAAAAAAAAAAAACGAACGCGGUCUCACUCAUCAGCCUUUGAUAUGGAAUGACGAUAACAGCAGACAUAGACCUUGGUUAGUUAAUUAAAUCUAAUCGUUGAUUAUAGAUUUCCAUUGAAAAAAAACAUUUCGACAAUACGAUUGUAAUGAUUGUAACGUCUAAUUCCGUGUAAUAAAUGCGAAUUUCAAGCUAACACACUCAAUCUGUUAAAUGCAUAAGCACCACGAUCGUUUGAAUGGGCUCAAUCUAAUUGGAUCGAAUUUAUGUUUCUAAUUGGAAUUCCAUACCACAAGGAGAGCACGUGAACAAUCAUCCAUAUCAACGAAAACCGUAGAAACCAUAUAAUAACCAUUUCCACUUGAUCA